rnacentral:rRNA from 1 species
ACUCCUACGGGAGGCAGCAGUGGGGAAUAUUGCACAAUGGGGGAAACCCUGAUGCAGCCAUGCCGCGUGUGUGAAGAAGGCCUUCGGGUUGUAAAGCACUUUCAGUAGGGAGGAAGGUAGUGUAGUUAACACCUGCAUUAUUUGACGUUACCUACAGAAGAAGCACCGGCUAACUUCGUGCCAGCAGCCGCGGUAAUACGAAGGGUGCAAGCGUUGUUCGGAUUUAUUGGGCGUAAAGCGCGCGCAGGCGGGCAGCUAAGUCAGAUGUGAAAUCUCGGGGCUCAACCCCGAAACUGCGUCUGAAACUGGUUGCCUAGAGUUUCAGAGGGGAGAGCGGAAUUUCGCAUGUAGGGGUAAAAUCCGUAGAGAUGCGAAGGAACACCAGAGCCGAAGGGGGCUCUCUGGCUGACAACUGACGCUGAGGCGCGAAAGCGUGGGGAGCAAACAGGAUUAGAUACCCUGGUAGACUGUC